CUAGGGGGAGGGAAGCACCCUCAAGUUCCCUUUAAUCUUCAGGAAAUGGGUUUAGGGAUCAUCCCCGCACUUAGGGGUAAGCGACCCCCUAGGAUGACAACUCAAUCUUUUUUUUGUCUUUUUUUCAUUGUAUAGAAUAUUUACCCAGAGAAAAAGAAUUGGUUUUUUUCCCCCUACUUCCAAUUUAGUGUGAAUAGUUGGACUUUGAGGAGGAAGAGGAAAAACUUUCUAAUAGGCUACAGGCCUUUAUUUUUACCGGGAUCCUCAGAAGUUAGGGAUUGAAGUAUGAACUCUAGAAUCACAGAGGUGAAGCACUCUUCAUUUUGUGUCUUCCUAUUCCUGUCAUGCCUGGCGUGAUCUUACCUUGCUGUCUGCCCAUCCUGAAGAGUUCUUUAGCUGUACGGAGAAAAGUAGAGGCAGUGGAUGAAGCUGGAGAGCGCAUAGCCUUGGGACACUCUCAGUGUCUGUGUUACCUUGGGAGGGUCUCAGUGUUUACAGAUGGAAGCGUGCUAAUAAAGAAAGGUCCUUUUAAGUAAGAGCAUAUUUGAGGUGGGUAACAAGCUGUGAGGUCCAUUGGGGACAUAAAUUUGCAGUAAAUUGGAACCUCUUAUAUGUGCAUUCACUCUAUGUGGCCCCCCCCUUCUCUGUAAUCAAAAUGUAAUUAUGAACUUUACAUUCAGAAAUCUUCUUGGCAGCGAUCAACAGAACUGUCUUCCUCUGGGGAAGUGGAACUGACUCAAGUGAAGGAGAAUAGCUCAUCCCACUGGAGACCACUGUAAACUCCAUGCUUGAUGGACUAAGUAGGGAAAUUUUCUCCUGCUUAAUCCUCAGGCUUCACUCUCAAUUUAGGGAUCCCAGAAGAUGGUCAUGUGAUCUGAAACUUUCAAGGAAACAUGAGGGUCAGUGAGUUCUGUGGCAUAGAGGUAAAAACGUGUGUGGUGGUCAUCAGUUAUUCUUUCUUUCCCUGAGGGGAGAAUGAAAGAAUAGGGUUAAAUGUAAGCAGGAAAAAUUCAGGCUGUUUUUAGAUUCUACAAAGGACUCUUCUUGCAGUGGUUGUGAGACUCAGGUUACUGAGUCUGUUGUUGAAGGAGUCUUAUUAAAUGAUUUUUAAAAGAGUAAAUGACUGGUGUGUAGUAUUGCCAGAAGGCUAGGGAUUCAACUGGAUGACCUCCUGAGGUUUCUGUCAGUUCUAUUAUUCCAUGAAUUUAGUUCUAACUUUGUAUCUCUAAGCCUAUUAUAAUAGCCUGAGGACAUACUGAAGCAAAUAGUUGCUCCUACUAUGCCACAGUCUAAGAAAGCUGAUUUCCCUGGAAAAUAAAGACUAGAUAUGAGAAAUAGAGGUAGGCUGUGGUCAGUGUUAUGUUCAUGGGGAAGAACCUCACCAUACUUCCUGUGGCCCCAAACCUCAGAGACUCCAACAACCUGCAGCAUCACCCUUCAGAGGGUAUACCUGGAAAUCUUCCCCCAUCCAUUCCCCUUGUCAUUGUAUCACCAGAACACUUCUGAAAAACAAUUUCUGACAUUCAAGUAAGCAGCCUCCUCCUGUUUUUUCUUGUUCCUGGAAGUGAUUUUCCUUACUUUUCUGGUUUAUUUUGGGAGCUGUCUCACCUAACAGAAAGUGUUUGAGUGUAGAUAGAGUGUGAGACAUUCACAGUCAUGAGGAAGGACUGUGUAGUGCUUACUUUCAAGGGGUGCUGAGUAUAGAGUAGCAGCCUGAAUGACAUUUGUCCCAAGACUUGACAUGCCAGCUGGGGUCUUACCAUGGUGUAGAGUAUAAUGGGAUUAUUAGUUACCGUACCUUUCAAUGAAGCCUAAAUUUGCGGGUUUUUUUGUUUUUGGUUGCCGAAUUACAUAGUUGGCUCACUGAGUCUUGCUGUCCUCUAAAAAACACAGUUUUUUUUUUCAGAUGAACUGCUUUCUGUUUGGUGGUCCUUCCUGUCUUGUACUUUGACAUUAAUUUUGUUUUGAACAUGGGUUUUACAUUUAUUCCUGUUAAAUCCAUCUAAAUAUAUUUAGUCCAACA